AUUUAUCUAAUAUAAAAAGUAUAUUUGACUUCCAAUCAAAAAGUUUGUACAACAAGAUAAAUA
rnacentral:tRNA from 1 species